GACGAACGCUGGCGGCGUGCCUAAUACAUGCAAGUCGAGCGGACAGAAGGGAGCUUGCUCCCGGAUGUUAGCGGCGGACGGGUGAGUAACACGUGGGUAACCUGCCUGUAAGACUGGGAUAACUCCGGGAAACCGGAGCUAAUACCGGAUAGUUCCUUGAACCGCAUGGUUCAAGGAUGAAAGACGGUUUCGGCUGUCACUUACAGAUGGACCCGCGGCGCAUUAGCUAGUUGGUGGGGUAAUGGCUCACCAAGGCGACGAUGCGUAGCCGACCUGAGAGGGUGAUCGCCACACUGGGACUGAGACACGCCCAGACUCCUACGGGAGGCAGCAGUAGGGAAUCUUCCGCAAUGGACGAAAGUCUGACGGAGCAACGCCGCGUGAGUGAUGAAGGUUUUCGGAUCGUAAAGCUCUGUUGUUAGGGAAAAACAAGUGCAAGAGAACUUGCUCGCCCUUGGCGGGACCUAACCAGAAAGCCCGGGUAACUUACGUGCCACAGGCCGGGUAAUACGUAAGUGGCAAGCUUUGUCCGGAAUUUUUUGGGCCGAAAAGGGUUCCAAUGGGGUUUUUUAAAUUUUGGUAGGAAAACCCCCCCCCCCCACCCGGGGGGGGCUUUUUGGAAACUGGGAAAUCUUGGGGGAGGAAGAAAGGGGGGUGGGUUUUACCCCUUGGGGGGGGAAAAAACGCCGAAAAAUUUGGGGAAAAACCCCCGGGGGGGGGGGGCCCCUUUUUUUUCUCUGAAACCCCCCCCCCAAAGAGCCCCAACCCGGGGGGGAGCCAAAAAAAAAUUAAAACUCCCUUUGGGGACCCCCCCCCCCAAAAAAAAAAAGGGGGGCGAAAGGGGGGGGGGGGGUUCCCCCCCCCUUUCGGGGGGGGGAAAAAAAAAAAAAAAAG
rnacentral:rRNA from 1 species